rnacentral:rRNA from 1 species
GCAAGUCGAACGAAGUAGCAAUACUUAGUGGCAGACGGGUGAGUAACAUGUAGGUAUCUGCCCUUUGGCCUGGAAUAACACGAGGAAACUUGUGCUAAUACCGGAUAAGUCUUUACGGAGAAAGCUUUAUGCACCAUUGGAUGAGCCUGCACUUGAUUAGUUUGUUGGUGGGGUAAUGGCCUACCAAGACUGUGAUCAAUAGCUGAUUUGAGAGGAUGAUCAGCCACAUUGGGACUGAGACACGGCCCAAACUCCUACGGGAGGCAGCAGUGGGGAAUCUUGCACAAUGGAGGAAACUCUGAUGCAGCGAUGCCGCGUGAGUGAAGAAGGCCUUUGGGUUGUAAAGCUCUUUCGUCGGGGAAGAAAAUGACUGUACCCGAAUAAGAAGGUCCGGCUAACUUCGUGCCAGCAGCCGCGGUAAUACGAAGGGACCUAGCGUAGUUCGGAAUUACUGGGCUUAAAGAGUUCGUAGGUGGUUGAAAAAGUUAGUGGUGAAAUCCCAGAGCUUAACUCUGGAACUGCCAUUAAAACUUUUCAGCUAGAGUAUGAUAGAGGAAAGCAGAAUUUCUAGUGUAGAGGUGAAAUUCGUAGAUAUUAGAAAGAAUACCAAUUGCGAAGGCAGCUUUCUGGAUCAUUACUGACACUGAGGAACGAAAGCAUGGGUAGCGAAGAGGAUUAGAUACCCUCGUAGUCCAUGCCGUAAACGAUGUGUGUUAGACGUUGGAAAUUUAUUUUCAGUGUCGCAGCGAAAGCGAUAAACACACCGCCUGGGGAGUACGAC